GCCGCUUUAGCUCAGUUGGGAGAGCGAUAGACUGAAGUCAAAGCGAUUCAUAACAUCUACAGGUCGCCCGUUCGAACCGGGCAAGCGGCA